AUUGAACGCUGGCGGCAGGCCUAACACAUGCAAGUCGAGCGGAUGAAGGGAGCUUGCUCCUGGAUUCAGCGGCGGACGGGUGAGUAAUGCCUAGGAAUCUGCCUGGUCGUGGGGGAUAACGUUCGGAAACGGGCGCUAAUACCGCAUACGUCCUGAGGGAGAAAGUGGGGGAUCUUCGGACCUCACGCUAUCAGAUGAGCCUAGGUCGGAUUAGCUAGUUGGUGGGGUAAAGGCCUACCAAGGCGACGAUCCGUAACUGGUCUGAGAGGAUGAUCAGUCACACAGGACAGGAGAGACGGUCCAGACACCUACGGGAGGCAGCAGGGGGGAAGAUUGGACGAUGGGCGAAAGCAUGAUCGAGCCAGGCCGCGUGUGUGAAGAAGGUCUUCGGAUUGUAAAGCACUUUAAGUUGGGAGGAAGGGAAGUAAGUUAAUACCUGGCUGGUUGAACGUUACAAACAGAAUAAGCACCGGCUAACUUCGU
rnacentral:rRNA from 1 species